rnacentral:rRNA from 1 species
CGCACGGGUGAGUAACACGUAUCCAACCUGCCGUCUACUCUUGGCCAGCCUUCUGAAAGGAAGAUUAAUCCAGGAUGGCAUCAUGAGUUCACAUGUCCGCAUGAUUAAAGGUAUUUUCCGGUAGACGAUGGGGAUGCGUUCCAUUAGAUAGUAGGCGGGGUAACGGCCCACCUAGUCAACGAUGGAUAGGGGUUCUGAGAGGAAGGUCCCCCACUGGAACUGAGACACGGCCCAA